rnacentral:rRNA from 1 species
GAUGAACGCUGGCGGCGUGCCUAAUACAUGCAAGUCGAGCGAACGGACGAGAAGCUUGCUUCUCUGAUGUUAGCGGCGGACGGGUGAGUAACACGUGGAUAACCUACCUAUAAGACUGGGAUAACUUCGGGAAACCGGAGCUAAUACCGGAUAAUAUUUUGAACCGCAUGGUUCAAAAGUGAAAGACGGUCUUGCUGUCACUUAUAGAUGGAUCCGCGCUGCAUUAGCUAGUUGGUAAGGUAACGGCUUACCAAGGCAACGAUGCAUAGCCGGCCUGAGAGGGUGAUCGGCCACACUGGAACUGAGACACGGUCCAGACUCCUACGGGAGGCAGCAGUAGGGAAUCUUCCGCAAUGGGCGAAAGCCUGACGGAGCAACGCCGCGUGAGUGAUGAAGGUCUUCGGAUCGUAAAACUCUGUUAUUAGGGAAGAACAUAUGUGUAAGUAACUGUGCACAUCUUGACGGUACCUAAUCAGAAAGCCACGGCUAACUACGU